AAACCAGCACCUCAAGUGGUCGGGAUGAUUAUUGGGCCUAAAGCAUCCGUAGCCGGCUCUGUAAGUUUUCGGUUAAAUCUGUACGCUCAACGUACAGGCUGUCGGGAAUACUGCAGAGCUAGGGAAUGGGAGAGGUAGACGGUACUCGGGAGGAAGUGGUAAAAUGCUUUGAUCUCUCGAUGACCACCUGUGGCGAAGGCGGUCUACCAGAACACGUCCGACGGUGAGGGAUGAAAGCUGGGGGAGCAAACCGGAUUAGAAACCCCGGUAGUCC
rnacentral:rRNA from 1 species